rnacentral:rRNA from 1 species
AGUCGAGCGAACUUAUGAGAGCUUGCUCUCAUAAGUUAGCGGCGGACGGGUGAGUAACACGUGGGCAACCUGCCUGUAAGACUGGGAUAACUUCGGGAAACCGGAGCUAAUACCGGAUAACUUCUUUCCUCACAUGAGGAAAGGUUGAAAGACGGCUUCGGCUGUCACUUACAGAUGGGCCCGCGGCGCAUUAGCUAGUUGGUGAGAUAACGGCUCACCAAGGCAACGAUGCGUAGCCGACCUGAGAGGGUGAUCGGCCACACUGGGACUGAGACACGGCCCAGACUCCUACGGGAGGCAGCAGUAGGGAAUCUUCCGCAAUGGACGAAAGUCUGACGGAGCAACGCCGCGUGAGUGAUGAAGGUUUUCGGAUCGUAAAACUCUGUUGUCAGGGAAGAACAAGUAUCGGA